GAGAAAAAAAAUCACACCUCGAAGUUACUGUAUUGACUUCCUCUUCUUCUCUUAGUUAGUUACAUUUUUGCAUUUUCAUUUUGCAUUUUGUGCAAAUGCAGGUGUGCCGGGGUUAAGCUAGAGGACAUUGGAACUUACAGUGGAACCAAAUGUUUGUCUCUAUGCAUUGCACCCGUCUUCAUAAUGAAUAUUCUUAAUAUUGGUGUUGUCUUUGAAAAAUGAACUUGUCAAUCUAAAAAUAUAUAUUUUUAUUUUCCUCUUCACAUUUUUGCACGAGGAGAAUGUCCAAGAAAAUGAGGAGGCCUGGGCCCUUCACUGUUACAGUAAGAGCUCCCUUACAUUCACAAGUAACGUCUCCACCUGCUGAGAGACGGUCAGUGACCUGCUGUUCACCCAGCGACGCAACCAUGUCUAUAUCAAGUCCCUCUUGUAUCAUACGGAUCCUGUCGCCCCAUCAUCUCAGCAUUCAACAGCAGUAAAUACCCACUGAACCUCACAACCCGCCAGAGGGUUUGAAAAGCAUGUUUUCUUUAAAAAAAUUACUAAAAUUACACCAUUUAUUAGAGCCAGAAACUGUAAAAACAGACACUAUCGUUGGAUUUCCAAAUUUUUUCAGGAAACGCAACAAAAUCUAAGCUUAAGAUGAGGCUAUUCUACAAGUCUCAUUUAAAAUUAGGUCCAAAAUAAACUGUUUGCAUAAACCAGAUUCUGUAAAAAAAACAUUAAACUCUGCACUCAUCGGCGCAACUGUGAAGCCAUGAAUGAUUCGGCUCAGGCCAACGGUCACGUGACGAAAAAACUCAGUGGAACUUGGACUGAACUGCAGGCUGCUGAACACAGAGCAGAGAGGAGAGGACAAGAGAGGUUGCAAGGACAGGUUGUAAAUGUAAACAGUUAUAGAAAUCUGUUUGAGUUUCAUCUUUUUUUUUUUAAAUAAGCGAGUAACCACAAUUAAAUACUACCAAAUUAAGGCUCAUUAAUACGUGCUUACAACAUGACUCGGGAGCAGUGUACCUGUUUCAAGCAGAGCUGACCUCUCUCCAGGGCCUGACGGAAGCCUAUCUUCCCAAGGAAGAAGCCACGCUGGUUUAUCAGCGUGGAGGCCUGUUGGAGGCUCUGACACACUGGAAUGCCUUCGGACAGGUUGGCAUGGAGGCCGAUGGGGAUGUUGUGCCUGACAAGAAAAAGAGAAACUUCUGUCACAUCAUUCUGUCACAUGAUGUUGGCUGAAAAUGUCCGCGGUUAAAGGAUGACCACUCUACCCACUGAGCUACAGAAUUCCAAUGACUUUAAUACAUCUAAUAGAAUUGACAAGAGCACAGAGAACAAACAGAGCCUCAACAACUUGGUAUUCUUUGUGUAAUUGGAAAAUCUGUAGUUGAUUUGCCACUAAAAUGUGUCAGGUUACCGUUGCGUUGUUGGUCAAAACGCACACUGAUUGCUGAUGGCAAUUCUGAAACCUGUGUGUGUACCGGCCAGGUGCACAUGGUAUCUGGCGCAUGGUCCUUAUCACUGUGUGUAUUUAUUGCGUGUUCUGUGUAGCUGCUGGACUUUGUACCAAGUGUGUGUGCAUUUGGAUACAAACAGAAGGCUGACCGGUGAUUUGCAUUAAAAUGGAAUAAACAGAAUGAAUAUACUAAA